rnacentral:rRNA from 2 species
CUGUCCUUAGUACGAGAGGACCGGGAUGGACAUACCUCUGGUGUACCAGUUGUCGUGCCAACGGCAUAGCUGGGUAGCUAUGUAUGGACGGGAUAAGUGCUGAAAGCAUCUAAGCAUGAAGCCCCCCUCAAGAUGAGAUUUCCCAACUUCGGUUAUAAGAUCCCUCGAAGAUGACGAGGUUAAUAGGUUCGAGGUGGAAGCGUGGUGACACGUGGAGCUGACGAAUACUAAUCGAUCGAAGACUUAAUCAA